rnacentral:rRNA from 1 species
GAUGAACGCUGGCGGCGUGCUUAAUACAUGCAAGUCGAGCGAACGGACGAGAAGCUUGCUUCUCUGUUGUUAGCGGCGGACGGGUGUGUAACACGUGUAUACCCUACCUAUAAGUCUGGUAUAACUUCGGGGCUCGGGCGCUAAUACCGGAUAAUAUUCUGAACCGCAUGGUUCGAUAGUGAAUGACGGUCUUGCUGUAACUUAUAGAUGGAUCCGCGCUGCAUGAGCUAGUUGGUAAGGUAAAGGCUUAUCACGGCAACGAUGCAUAGCCGAGCUGAGAGGCUGGUAGGCCGCAUUGGAACUGAGACACGGUCAAGACGCCUACGGGAGGCAGCAGUAGGGAAUCUUCCACAAUAGGGGGAAGCAUGACGGAGUAACGGCACGUGAGUGAUAGAAAUCUUCGGAUCGUAAAACUCUGUUAUGAGGGAUGAACCGAUGUGUAAGGAACUGUGCACAGCGUGACGGUACCUAAUCAGAAAGCCACGGCUAACUACGUG